AACGAACGCUGGCGGCAGGCUUAACACAUGCAAGUCGAACGCGUGCAGCAAUGCACGAGUGGCGCACGGGUGAGUAACGCGUGGAUAUCUGCCUUUUGGUUCGGAAUAACCCCGGGAAACUGGGGCUAAUACCGGAUGGUUCCUACGGGAUAAAGAUUUAUCGCCAAAAGAUGAGUCCGCGUACGAUUAGCUAGUUGGUGAGGUAAUGGCUCACCAAGGCGACGAUCGUUAGCUGGUCUGAGAGGACGAUCAGCCACACUGGGACUGAGACACGGCCCAGACUCCUACGGGAGGCAGCAGUGGGGAAUAUUGGACAAUGGGGGCAACCCUGAUCCAGCCAUGCCGCGUGAGUGAUGAAGGCCUUCGGGUUGUAAAGCUCUUUUGGCGGGGACGAUGAUGACGGUACCCGCAGAAUAAGCCCCGGCUAACUUCGUGCCAGCCGCCGCAGUAACAC
rnacentral:rRNA from 1 species